rnacentral:rRNA from 1 species
GCAGCUGCAACUCGACUGCAUGAAGCUGGAAUCGCUAGUAAUCGCGGAUCAGAAUGCCGCGGUGAAUACGUUCCCGGGUCUUGUACACACCGCCCGUCACACCAUGGGAGUCGGAUAUGCCCGAAGUCAGUGACCCAACCGCAAGGAGGGAGCUGCCGAAGGUGGAGCCGAUGACUGGGGUGAAGUCGUAACAAGGUAGC